CUUUCUUUCUUUCUCUCUUUCUCUCUUUCUCUUUUUCUCGCUUUCUCUCUUCACUUUCUCCAACGACAUCCAUCCAAUUUGCUUUGGGGAGUUUGUAAAGACCAAGGAGAAAAAGCUGA
rnacentral:ribozyme from 13 species